rnacentral:rRNA from 1 species
GACGAACGCUGGCGGCGUGCCUAAUACAUGCAAGUAGAACGCUGCAGGAGGAGCUUGCUUCUCUGGAUGAGUUGCGAACGGGUGAGUAACGCGUAGGUAACCUGUCUGGUAGCGGGGGAUAACUAUUGGACACGAUAGCUAAUACCGCAUAAGAGUAGAUGUUGCAUGACGUUUGCUUAAAAGGUGCAAUUGCUUCACUACUAGAUGGACAUGCGUUGUAUUAGCUAGUUGUUGGGGUAACGGCUCAUCAAGGCGACGAUACAUAGCCGACCAGCGAGGGUGCGCUGCCAAGCUGGGAUGGGGGCACGGCCCAGAACCAUACGAGUGGGAGCAGGAGGGGAUCUUCGGGAAUGGACGGAAUGCGGACCGAUCAACGCCGCGUGAGUGAAUGAGGUAGUCGGGUCGUAAAGCUCAGUUGUAAGAGAAGAACGAAAGGGAGAGUGGAAAGUGCACAUUGUGACGGUACCUGACCAGAAAGCGACGGCUAACUACGUG